CAGUAGCCGCGGUAAAACGUAGGUGGCAAGCGUUGUCCGGAAUUAUUGGGCGUAAAGGGCUCGCAGGCGGUUUCUUAAGUCUGAUGUGAAAGCCCCCGGCUCAACCGGGGAGGGUCAUUGGAAACUGGGAAACUUGAGUGCAGAAGAGGAGAGUGGAAUUCCACGUGUAGCGGUGAAAUGCGUAGAGAUGUGGAGGAACACCAGUGGCGAAGGCGACUCUCUGGUCUGUAACUGACGCUGAGGAGCGAAAGCGUGGGGAGCGAACAGGAUUAGAGACCCGAGUAGUCCCUGUCUCUUAUAA
rnacentral:rRNA from 1 species